AAAAUAUUAUACUGUCCAGCCCUGAGAACCUUGUCUCCACAACAAAAAGAAAGAAUAAUAAACAAUAGAAAAUAUAUGAUCAAACAAAAAGUUGCAUUACAUGCAGAUGUUGCAAAGACAAAAAGAAAGAAAAAAAAAGGAGAAAACAUAAGAUGUCAUCUUUCCCUAGGAAAAAGGUGAAAGAAAAGAAAGGGGAGUUUGUCUGAGACAGAGGUAGACUAAUACAAGAAAGUUAGUCUGCUCUGAGACUCUAAAAUGGAAGAUGGGAAAAAUGUAGCAGACAAAGGUGAAUCCAUAUCUUAUCCUGGAUUCCUGUAUUACUUAUUCAUGACUUUAUUUGAAAAUAAGCUAAAAUUUAGUGAUGCACCAUUUUAUAUCAACCAUCUGCUGCAGAAUCCUCACACUGGUGUCAGAAGCAGAUUGUUGAAUGAUAAGAUUCAAGACACCAGCUUACCUAUGUUGCAGAACCUGUACAGAAUCAAAAAUAUUUCCAAUUGAUUUCAUUGUUUUUGCAAUUUCGGUUCAUUACAAGAUCACAUUAAUUAAAAUGCUAUUUAAUCCUUU
rnacentral:lncRNA from 1 species